UACGAAGGGUGCAAGCGUUACUCGGAAUUACUGGGCGUAAAGCGUGCGUAGGCGGUUUGUUAAGUCCGCUGUGAAAGCCCUGGGCUCAACCUGGGAAUUGCAGUGGAUACUGGCAAGCUAGAGUGCGGUAGAGGAUGGUGGAAUUCCAGGUGUAGCGGUGAAAUGCGUAGAUAUCUGGAGGAACACCGGUGGCGAAGGCGGCAAUCCUGGACCGACAUUGACGCUGAGGCGCGAAAGCCAGGGGAGCAAACGGGGAUUAAGA
rnacentral:rRNA from 1 species